GAAAAUUAGGUAAAAAGAAUUCGAGUUAGAUUAGAAUAUUUAAUAGCUAUAUAGAGUCCUGUUUUUAGUUUAUUUAUUUUAUUGAGUAUUUGAGUGUGAUUAGGAGUCCUUAUACGAGUCAAUUUAAGAAUUGUAGAAGGUCUUUAUAUAUAUAAUA